AAGAGACAGCAGUAGCCACGGUAAUACGGAGGAUCCGAGCGUUAUCCGGAAUUAUUGGGUUUAAAGGGUGCGUAGGCGGAUAGAUAAGUCAGUGGUGAAAGACGGUGGCUCAACCAUCGCAGUGCCGUUGAUACUGUUUAUCUUGAAUAUGGAUGAGGUAGGCGGAAUGUGGCAAGUAGCGGUGAAAUGCAUAGAUAUGCCACAGAACACCGAUUGCGAAGGCAGCUUACCAAGGCAAAAUUGACGCUGAGGCACGAAAGCGUGGGGAUCGAACAGGAUUAGAUACCCGUGUAGUCCCUGUCUCUUAUAC
rnacentral:rRNA from 1 species